CCUACGGGUGGCUGCAGUGGGGGAUAUUGCACAAUGGGGGAAACCCUGAUGCAGCGACGCCGCGUGAGUGAAGAAGUAUUUCGGUAUGUAAAGCUCUAUCAGCAGGGAAGAAAAUGACCGUACCUGACCAAGAAAGCCCGGCUAACUACGUUCCAGCCGGCGCGGUUAUACGUAGGGGGCAAGCGUUAUCCGGGUUUACUGGGUGUAAAGGGAGCGUAGAGGGUUAUGUAAGUCUGGAGUGAAAGCCCGGGGCCCAACCCCGGGACUGCUUUGGAAACUGUGGAGCUGGAGUACGGGAGGGGUAAGUGGAAUUCCUGGUGUAGCGGUGAAAUGCGUAGAUAUCAGGAGGAACACCAGUGGCGAAGGCGGCUUACUGGACUGUAACUGACGUUGAGGCUCGAAAGCGUGGGGAGCAAACAGGAUUAGAUACCCGGGUAGUC
rnacentral:rRNA from 1 species